GACGAACGCUGGCGGCGUGCUUAACACAUGCAAGUCGAACGCGCCUGUCCUCUGGGUUUCUGGGGGAUGGGUGAGUGGCGAACGGGUGAGUAACACGUGAGUAACCUGCCCCCUUCUUCGGGAUAACGGUCUGAAAGGGCUGCUAAUACCGGGUAUUCACUGGUCUCCGCAUGGGGUCUGGUGGAAAGGUUUUUUUCUGGUGGGGGAUGGGCUCGCGGCCUAUCAGCUUGUUGGUGGGGUGAUGGCCCACCAAGGCUUUGACGGGUAGCCGGCCUGAGAGGGUGACCGGUCACAUUGGGACGGAGAUACGGCCCAGACUCCUACGGGAGGCAGCAGUGGGGAAUAUGGCACAAUGGGCGCAAGCCUGAUGCAGCGACGCCGCGUGAGGGAUGGAGGCCUUCGGGUUGUGAACCUCUUUCGCCCGUGGUCAAGCCGCGACGUGGGUCGUGGUGAGGGUAGUGGGUAAAGAAGCGCCGGCUAACUACGUG
rnacentral:rRNA from 1 species